AUGAACGCUAGCGAUAGGCUUAACACAUGCAAGUCGAGGGGCAGCAUGUUCUUAGCUUGCUAAGACUGAUGGCGAUCGGCGCACGGGUGCUUAACGCGUAUUCAACUUGCCUCACAGAGGGGUAUAACCCGUCGAAAGACGGACUAAUACCGCGUACACUUGGUAUAGGGCAUCCUGACCCAAGGAAAUUAAAUUCGCUGUGAGAUAGGCAUGCGUCCCAUUGGCUAGUUGGUGAGGUAACGGCUCACCAAGGCGACGAAGGGUAGAGGAACUGAGAGGUUGAACCCCGACACGGGUACUGAGACACGGACCAGACUCCUACGGGAGGCAGCAGUGAGGAAUAGUGGGCAAUGGGCGAGAGCCUGAACCAGCCAAGUCGAGUGAAGGAUGACUGUCUUAUGGAUUGUAAACUUCUUUUAUACGGGAAUAACAAGAGUCACGUGUGGCUCCCUGCAGGUACCGGAUGAAUAAGCAUCGGCUAACUCCGUG
rnacentral:rRNA from 1 species